rnacentral:lncRNA from 1 species
GGAGUUUCCGAUGAAUCUCUUAGCAGAUAAAAAUCGAACAGCUGAAUUUAUUUUAGGAAUGUUUUCCGCUCUCGUUUUCUAGUGUCGGCAGUGAUUUCACUUGGCCACUUUUCAAUUUGUGUUUUCGGAAACAUUUUUGUAGGAUUUAGAAAAAAAAAAAAAUGAUCGAGUUUUCGUUUACUUCGCGCUCCUCUUUUGAUCUUUGGUCGUUUUUAUCUGGGAGUUGUGCACGAUUUUAUUUCCUUAAGAGCUAUACAGAUGUACAGCUGUUUUGAUACUUGCGGUUCUGAUUUUUCCUGGUUGGGAGGUUGGAGUGAUCAAACUCACGUGACGUCUGACGUCAAGCCAAAAGGCGGAGAGUUGUCACUUCUUUGCUGCAGUCUCGUUUGGCUGACAGGUAGUCUGCUGAAACGGCCUCGUUUAGUACUGUAUAUACUUGUAUCGUUCACUGUUGUUGUUUUUGUUACUGGCUAUAAAAGGUAAGUAUCGGGGUUAGAGUAUCUAACACUCGGCUUUUAUAUCUACAUCGUGUUGUGCUUCACUAAAACGAUAUCGCGGCUUCUUAACUAGACGACUUUUUCGAUUUUUCUCCGAGACGAAUAGGAUCGUAUUCGUUUUCCUUAUCGCUUUCUACAUCUCUCCUUUAUGCUGAUUCAUCGUGUCUUAACAAUACGGGUGCUAAUGAUGCUUGAGAAAUCCGUAUUGAGUAAUAUGCGUCGGAACUUUACUAGGUACAAGCGAUGUUGAAGACUGACGAAAAACCGAAUUUAGGAUUUAUCAGCGAGGUUUCGGAAAUGAAAAUAUUCGCCAAGCAAUCCAGGAGAACGAAAAUUGAUCGAACGGUUAGAUACGAGUCGGGAGAGCAGAUGAUUUUAAAAAGCACGUGGCCCACGCGUGACGUUGCCAUUCCUAUACUUGGAGGUAAUCCUAUCGAUUUUUCACUAAACUCGGGAAGCUGUAGAUCAGACUGUCAAUACUCAUUCAUCGAACGGCACUAAUUUUGUCUGGGUGUGGUCCGUCGCCCCCCUUUUCGCCGUUAUUCUCUCGGGACUCAUCGAUUUUCGACUUUCCGAUUAAUAGCAUUAAUCAUAAACCGUGGCUGGAUUUUUCGGGAAUUUUACAAACUCUGUUCGGCUCCACUUCUGUAUGUCUUAGCAAUUUCGAUGUGUAGUCAGUCAACAUUUGAGAUAAAUAUACCCGAGAGAAUCGUACACUGUCAUUACGAUAGAAAGCAAAUAACAGGUUUGUAGGCGCUAGUACACACGAAAACGUGAUCGUAUCGACAUCCAUUCCUUGAUGUAUUUUUAUUCGGCAUCUCGGCUUCUUUAGAGUAUAAUCGGGCAAAAUUCAGUGAAUGGUGAUUCUAAAUCAAGAAUGGCUUUGAUGAACUGCGUCGAUGGAUGACCUUGGCUGGAGUUGUUGUCCUCAGCUUGGAACCAAAGUACAUCUUUGUUUCCAUGACUCACGUGUGAAACACGUCGUUUCUCGGUACAUAGAUUACGUCAAUCUUUAUUAAUUUUAUAGCAUUUACUCAGAACACACUUAACAAAAUUUUGUAUGAUGAGUAAGUCUACUCAUACAGGAGCUCGCCAGUAAUCUUUACACACGUUUAAACAACGUCUUACGGAAGCCGAACAUCAAUUUUCUUUUAAUUUUUUUCGAAUAGAAACUUGAUGUCAGUUCUUCUAAAUAAGAAAUGUUUGUCAUUUUUCAUAAUGCAAAUAAUAAUAAUUAUAAAGCGCAUCUCUAAUUAUGCUACUUUAUAGUUAGCCAAUUUUAACAACUCUAUCAUUUUUGUAAAGUGAAAAUAGUCCAGUUGCCCAAAAAUUGGUGCGCUUUCCGGAUUACAUCGCAUUCCUAUUCUUGCGUUAAAGUACAUUUUCCGUUCAAACUAUAAUUUAUUAUUGAUCGAAAACAACGAUGUCGAACCAACUAAAUAUCACAUCACUGGACUGGAUGUAGGCCAAAAGUAUAGUUUUCUGGUUUCCAAUUCCCCUUUAUGUGGUAAUAUUUUUUUUUCCUCUUUUAUCUUUCAAGAUAUUUUUUUCCUGUAGAC